rnacentral:rRNA from 1 species
UACGUAGGGCGCAAGCGUUGUCCGGAAUUAUUGGGCGUAAAGAGCUCGUAGGCGGUUUGUCGCGUCUGCUGUGAAAACCCGAGGCUCAACCUCGGGCCUGCAGUGGGUACGGGCAGACUAGAGUGAUGUAGGGGAGACUGGAAUUCCUGGUGUAGCGGUGAAAUGCGCAGAUAUCAGGAGGAACACCGAUGGCGAAGGCAGGUCUCUGGGCAUUAACUGACGCUGAGGAGCGAAAGCAUGGGGAGCGAACAGG